rnacentral:rRNA from 1 species
UACAGGGGGUGCAAACGUUGCUCGGAAUUAUUGGGCGUAAAGCGCGCGUAGGCGGCUACUUAAGUCGGAUGUGAAAGCCCCUGGCUCAACUGGGGAAGUGCACCCGAAACUGAGUGGCUUGAGUGCGAAAGAGGGUCGCGGAAUUCCCGGUGUAGAGGUGAAAUUCGUAGAUAUCGGGAGGAACACCGGUGGCGAAGGCGGCGACCUGGGUCGACACUGACGCUGAUGAGCGAAAGCCAGGGGAGCAAACGGG